rnacentral:lncRNA from 1 species
UCUCUCUCUCUCUCUCUCUUCUCUUUAUUGUUGCCUGCUUCUCAAGGCAAAUCAAUCAUUGGGAGCAAAUAAAGUAAUCAUUUCUCUAUUUUGAUUCUUCAUCUGAAAAAAACUUAAAACUUCUUUUGUAGUUUUGUUGCAGAAUCUCAUGAGAACAAGAAAAAAAUUUGGCUAACAAGAAAACUCUUCUCUCCACUCAAGAGAACAAAACAGCUCUCUUUAAAUUAACAAAUAUAACGAAUUUUUAGAAGAAAAUGCUCGGCAGUGAGGAGCAUUCUAUUGGGAUCUGUGGACAUCUGUAUUUUUGGAGUAUCUAGGAGAGAGUGGACUUUUGCUAAUCCUUUUUAUUGUAUAUUUUCCUUGCCCAACUCUUAAAAACCCUACUUUAAACCAUAAACAUCAAAUGAAGCUAGUACCCCAAAUGCAAUGGUAUUGGUACAUAUAAAAUAUGGUAGGAAGAACCUGACCUGCUAUUAUCUAAGUAACCAAGAAUUUUAAGUUGAUUAAUCCCUAGUCAUUUAAGAAUAAUAAUGCAAAAUAUAUAUUGUUUUUCACUUUUGUUUUCUUUCCUUGUCUCUUUCUUUCUUCUUCUUUUUGGGUUUUGGCUAAGCUUACCGUCUAAAAAACCCAAAAUAAGUUACUUAUUAGGACUACCAAAUAUUCUUAAUUAAGUUGCUUAUCAACACCUUGUAAGUUUAGCCAAACAUGUCGCAAUUAUUUUGGCUC